CAUCAGAGUUCCCUUAUUGGUUUGAAAUUCCAUUAAAUAUAUUGCAAGAGCUCCUAGGUUAAGCUUGAUUUAAAUUUGCAUACAUUUUCAUAUGUUUAGCAGAAAUAAAAGAAGGCUUGCAGCUACCAGAAAGUCAUUAAGGCAUUAGUUUCUCUGAGAAGACAGAUCUGGAGAAAAUUCAAGAAAAUGAAUAUAUGUAUCUAUAUAUCUCUAUAUAUAAACAAGGUGAGCUUUCCUCUGAUUCCUUUAUAGGUGGAGUGGAAGACAAUGCCUGCAUUUAUGGUUAACUAUAAGUGAUAUACUAGGAAGAUGAUGGUAUUCAGACAAACACAAACAAUUUGAUUCAGACAGAUUGGAUACAAGAUUUCAACCAGCAUAAGGAGAACAGGGACACAGCACCAAACCCUGCCCUCUCUGCCAAGGGUACAAGAUGAACUUUCGUGAGGUGGUACCAUGGGGGAGAUUUCCGGACAAUUUUUAGAAGACUACACAGAGAAUAACAUGGAUCCCAGUGAGAAUGAACAGACCUGAUUUACAAGAUUCUGAUACCUGCUAGUCAUGUGAGAAAAAAGUUAAUUUGCUGGAGGAAAUCAUGUCUGUGCGAGAGAAGGUCAGCUUGCUCCAUCAACACGUACUGCCGUCCGAAGCUGACCUGAACCCACACAACUUGGUUGAAUGGAAAAAUUAGACAUUUUGAUUUUUUUCAGCAUAGUGCCUGCAGAAUUUCAGUUUUCUCCAGGGGUUUUCACACCUUCACCAGAAAGGAAGGACUGUAUGACCCAUUUCAGUUACUCUGAUGUCUCAUUACCCAGUUCAGCAUCAGUAGCCCAAUCUCGUUCCGAAUGAGAUAAAAUUUCUGAUAGCUGAUUAUUGCAUUCUAAAACUACUAAUUUAAUCCUAAAUUGUGCCAGACUCAUGACUUCUCCAAUCCUCCACUAGACCAUGGGCCAAAACAACCCCUGGUAUAGCACAGAAUAGCUAAAGUGUUUUUUAAGUUGCUGUGGUUAGCACAAUCCCUCAGAACAAUUUUACUGACCCAUGACCAGGCAACGUGCUGGAUGCUCCAGGCUCACCACUCCUGCUUUUGCCACGACCACCCCACAAAGGUUGAAUGCUUGAAACUCACAGUGCCAUCAAUGGGAAUAGUAAUUCUGAAGAGCACCUCUCAGGACCUGUCUCCUUGUAAAUUGAUGGUGUUAGAAAUAGUAAAUGAGUGAGUGAAUAAGUACGAUGGUCUGAGAAGAAAUAAGAUACUUCAAGUGGUACCCUACCAGCAAAUACUCUAGACGUCUGUGGGCUAGACUUUGAUGCCAUGUAAAAACAUGGCAUCAAAUGCAAAUCUUAGUGACAUAAUGAGCCAAAUCCUGUUAGCCUUACUCAGUAACUUCAAUGGGACUAUCUGCAUGGGAUAAGGCCAGGAGGAUUUGGCCCCAAAAUGAUUUCAUGGCACACUGGUGGAAUCAAUUGCAUGAUAAUAGCACUUUAUCAAAAACUGAUAAAGAAUUGCUUCUCCAACAGACAUGUUUAUGUUAAAUGUAACAGAAGCUGUAGUCUAUUUAAUGUAUCUAUCUGCCUGUCUAUUAUGCACCCAGCACCCACUGUAUCUGAACACAGCAAAAUGAUUUAGCACACUGGCAAAUUGAAAGACUGUAUUCUCCACCCUUUCCUUGUAUGCUCCAUGGAGUGUUCUUGACUUUUCCACCCCACAUAUUUAUUUAUUUGCCUUUCCUCUCAUCUAUCUAUGUUCAUAUAGCAUGAUCAUCACAUGACUUCUGAGCAUCUAUUUUGUGUGUUAUUCUAUCUUCAGGAAUGAGAAUAUGGGCCGUGCUGGGAAUGUUACGGGGGAAAGCUAUUAGAAAGAGAGGCGAUAAAAUAUUGUAACUACAUUUUUGUUUAGUUAAUUACAUUUUUCAACUUUGUGUUGAGGUUAAAAACUGGUGUUACCUGGGCAUAUUAUGUACAUCCUACCCAUAUUCAUUGAAUUGACUAUUUUAAUCAUUUUUAUUAUUGCUACGCAGUAUUAAAUUAUGGCAUCAUUGAUAUCACUGUUAUGUUUUCAGAGUAACAGCCGUGUUAGUCUGUAUUCGCAAAAAGAAAAGGAGUACUUGUGGCACCUUAGAGACUAACCAAUUUAUUUGAGCAUAAGCUUUCAUGAGCUACAGCUCACUUCUCAGUUGAGCAGUUUGGGGUGGAUUAUUUCAUAUUAUUUUGCUUUAAGAUAAAGCUCCACUCCUGCAAACCCUUACUGGUAUGCUUAGCCAUAGACUUCAACAGGGUGAGCAGACUUUCAUGACACAACUUGCAUGAAUAAAUUACUCACAUUGGUUUGCAGGAUUGGUCCCCAAGAGUCUGUCUUAUGAACUAAACUUCUAAGAGUUAAUCUGAAAUCUUGGUAAAAUGUGAGAUGUAACAUAACAUCCAUAUAUGACAAUGUCCAGUCCAGUUACGUAAAUUCAUGUAUUAAGUGCAACUAAUUCAAAUAAGAUGUUCAAGAGUAUAUUAAAGCAGUGAAAGCAUAAGGGAAAUUCUAAUAUUCAAAUUACAAUCUGACGGCACUUGGGCUCCAGUUCAUGUAAUCAAACCUAUUCAGGGCAGAACUUAAGCAUAUGCUGGGACUUAAGUACCGACUUAAGUGCUUUCCUGAGUCAGGACCUGGAUGUUUUAAUGAAGAGUCACAAAGCAUUGCAGAUUAAAAGGAGCUUCAUAAAUGUGCAGUUCAUAAAAUUUGGGGACUACUGUAUAUUCUCAUUGCUCUGAGCAAUGAAUACACACAAUUCCCAUUAAGAUCAAUGGAAUAAUUGUAUAUUGAUACAUCUGGGUGUAGGUUAGAAGGGAUACCUGCCAUUGUAUUUCAGCAUUAUCUUAAGUUUUGGAAGUGGCGAACUAUUUUUGCUGCAUUGUACCCUGGGAACUGGAAAUGCUGCUCACCACCCUCAGGCAUGGAAAGGGCCUCCUAUGGCAUGCUUACUUUUAAACCUAAGUAGGGAGCAGGGUUGAAGGACUGGCUCCAACCUUGGCCUGCCCGUAAGCCUGAGACCCUACUCUAUGCAGUAACUCCGGAUUUCUGUUGUCACACUGGGGCAAUGCUUUGCAAUACAGAGGGUUCAUCAAAAUCAUAGUUUUGAUGAGAAUAUUUUUGUUGUUUGACUUUUUUCUUAUUCUAGGUCUGAUUUACUGGAUCUGACUCCUUUAUAUGGUCUGCUGAUUGAUGCCAAUAAAAUGCUUCA